CGAAAACACCAAUGCCUUUCACGCAACGCGCGUAAUUUAAAAACACUAGUUAUUUUCUAAAAAACCAACAGAGUUACAUUCCAAAUCCCCAAUACCAUUUCAAAUUUUCAACGACAUUAUCGAAGCUGAAAAGCCUUGGGUUUUCAUCCAUAAGUCUCGGAACUUUAUAUCCGGUAAAAUAGCGACCAUAUUAGUAGAUCUGAAAUCUGAGGUGGGGGAAGUGGAGUGGGAGUCAUCUUCACAGCCGAUUGUGGUGCUUUUAUGAGAACCGAAGAGUGGGGCAGAGAUUUAGACGGCAUACAAUGAUGUAUCUAUUUUCCGGUUAAGGUAUUCCGGCGAUUACUGCCGUUUCUGACCGGGUAGCAAGAUGUAUAUGAAGCGAUUUCAGAUCCGGUUUCACGUAGGCGUCUCAGAUUCAGUUUCCGCUAGUGGUGAAGCCGGAUAGAAUCAUAUUACAAGCUUUCCGGUAGCAACACAAUUCGUCUCUCCAGCUUUUUUUCCCAUCUUUUAUCUUGUAAACUCAUGUGCUACCUUAGUCGUCCGCCGUGUACAUAUCAUAUUAUGUUGUGCA